GCAAAUGUCACGCACAGUGAUAGCAGGAGC
rnacentral:piRNA from 1 species